AGUCCCGGCCCGGCGCUGCGCCGGGGCAGCUCGCAGCCUCCCCCUCGUCCCGCAGCGGGGAGGGGUCUCCCUGGAGACUGAAGGUUGGGGCGCGCUGCCUCGCCCCCUAGCCCAGAGGGGCGUACCCGUGCGCCGAGAGCCCCCAAGCCCGUCUCCCCUUACCUCCUCGGCCCAGCGCCUACCUCCCCGAAUCGCGGCCGCUGGGAGCGGGGUUCGAUCCCGUGAUGCCGCGUGGGUGCCGGCCAGAGAAGAGCUCCGGAGGCCGGGGCGGCCGGCGGGCGUGCGAAUGUCAUCUUUCCCAACAAGUUGUUCCCAGCAGAAUCCUCUCUCCUGGCACAAAACAAGCAGAUGAAGAGCAGCCCUGAGAGGUAGACACAGCGGAGAUUUUUUUCACCCGCAUUGUACAGAAGAGAAAAUGAAGCUUUGCCCAACCUGCAGGAGAUCCCCUCACCUUGCAAAAGAGCCAAGCUGUGGGAUCUUCAGUCCCUGGACCAUUUAGCUUGACUAAGAGAACAGGAAUGGAGGCCAAAAGAUCUACAAAAUGCUCACACAGAGAAGAUGACAGCUUCUACAAAUAAAUGUCAA
rnacentral:lncRNA from 1 species